rnacentral:sRNA from 1 species
CAUUUUUCGUAUUUAUUACUCAAGAAAAUAUUUUUAUUAAAACUUUUUUCAUUUAACAUUAGAAACGCUUAUUAAUACGCUAUAGUAGGAUGGGAGGCUAUUUAACAUUGGUGUUCUGUCCAAAAGACAGCCUGCAUUGAUAUCUCUGGCAAUUUACUGUAAGGCUGAUUAUGCAACGCGAUUUUUGUGAACUUGUCAUCGCUAUGAUGACGGGUAAACCAAUAUUACCUUAUUCACUGCGUGAGAAUCUGUCCAGAUGAAACUAUCUUCUUCCGGCUUUAGCCCUGUGGACUAAGCCGGCAUUUUAUU